UAUAAUCCCAUCCCACAUGCUUUUACAAUGUGACCUUGACACCCCUCCCUUCGGGUGGUAGGUUCUAUGAUCCUUUCCCUGGAAUCAGGAUGGGACAUUUGCAAUAUUUUCAACCAAGACAGCACUAUGGGUGUGGCAGUACGUGAAUUUCAAGACUAGAUAAUAAAAAUGCUAAGCACUUCCAAUUUGCUCUCUUAGGACCCUGCACUUGAAACCGAGCUGCCAUGCGGUAAGAAAGCUUGAACUACCCCAUUCCGACAGACCACAGGGAGAGGUCACAUGCAGGCACUCCGGUUGAGAUGAGCUGAGUUUCUACACAACAGCCAGCUGAGGGUCUUUAUGACAGACAGCAUCAGCUGCAGGACCUGCAAAUGAAAAUGCCUCCAGAUGAUUCCAAGAUUCUCUUUGAGACUUCCAAACACGCGGCCCAGACAACACGGAGCAGAGAUGUUGGGAUGGGAAUCCUUCAAUAUCUUGCAAACUCACUGAAGCUUUUGAGAAAAUGUUUUUACGUCUUGUCCAGCUUUCUAAGCUGUCAUCAGCAUGGUUGAUUCAAAUGACCUAGACUGCCACGACUGGAAGCAGAAUUCCCACCACAUGUCUUGGAAUAACUUGUGAGUUUUGUACUAUAAAAUGGUAUUGUCUACUCAAAUAAAUAAACAUAUUUUUGAAAAGA